AGAGGAUAACAGAGAAUGUUCUGCUGCACUGGCCCAUAUAUUCACAGUUGGACAACUAGAAAGGGCUUCUGUGGUGCAAGAGAUGAAAAGCUUUUUCUGCUGCUCUGCCUGAAUGUGAAAAGGCUGCUGUUGCUGGUGAGCUGCUGGUGUCAUCCGUUCAUACCAGGGAGCUAGAAAACAGAUGAAAAGAAGAUAUGGGAUCCCCUUUGGUAUUGGCCACCAACACUUUCAGGCAGAUUCCAGUCAAGUAGUUAAAUAUACGGAUCUUUCCAUCAGCACAGCCAGUGAGGACUCUGAGAUAGAGGAACUCCAGAGACAGGACUUCACUGAAAAACACAGCACAUCACCAUCCUUUCACAAGGAGACACCAUCAAAUACCUCUUGUCUUGGAGGAGAUGCAAAGGUCUGCCUCCAUCAACAAGCUAAACAGAGGAGCUGAUAAUGAUAUAUAAGAGGUCUAAUAGUGAAGUCCUUCAUAAUCAGUCCAAACCAACCAAACCAUCAUACCCUCAUAGCAACCAGUACAGUUACAGCCAUCUGCUGCAUUUCAGAUUUCAUUUUUAUGUCCAGGAAAGUAAAUGAUAGUGUGAUAAGCAGUUGUAUACAGGUUGAGAUCCUCAAAAUAGUG